GACGAACGCUGGCGGCGUGCUUAACACAUGCAAGUCGAACGGAAAGGCCCUGCUUUUGUGGGGUGCUCGAGUGGCGAACGGGUGAGUAACACGUGAGUAACCUGCCCUUGACUUUGGGAUAACUUCAGGAAACUGGGGCUAAUACCGGAUAGGAGCUCCUGCUGCAUGGUGGGGGUUGGAAAGUUUCGGCGGUUGGGGAUGGACUCGCGGCUUAUCAGCUUGUUGGUGGGGUAGUGGCUUACCAAGGCUUUGACGGGUAGCCGGCCUGAGAGGGUGACCGGCCACAGAGGGACUGAGAAACGGCCCAGACUCCAAAGGGAGGCAGCAGUGGGGAAUAGUGCACAAUGGGCGGAAGCCUGAUGCAGCAACGCCGCGUGCGGGAUGACGGCCUUCGGGUUGUAAACCGCUUUCGCCUGUGACGAAGCGUGAGUGACGGUAAUGGGUAAAGAAGCACCGGCUAACUACGUG
rnacentral:rRNA from 1 species